rnacentral:tRNA from 1 species
AUAGAAAUAAACUAAAAAAAGUUGUUUGGUUCAUGCCCAAAAUAUAGAUUUGAUUCUUUUCUGUG